rnacentral:rRNA from 1 species
GACGGAGGGCGCAAGCGUUGUUCGGAAUUACUGGGCGUAAAGCGCACGCAGGUGGUCCCUUAAGUCCACUGUUAAAUCACGGGGCUCAACCCCGGAGGUGCAGCGGAUACUGAGGGACUGGAGACUGGUAGAGGCUAGCGGAAUUCCUGGUGUAGCGGUGGAAUGCGUAGAUAUCAGGAGGAACACCGGUGGCGAAGGCGGCUAGCUGGGCCAGUUCUGACGCUCAUGUGCGAAAGCGUGGGGAGCAAACAGG